GAUGAAGAACGCAGCGAAAUGCGAUAAGUAGUGUGAAUUGCAGAAUUCAGUGAAUCAUCGAAUCUUUGAACGCACAUUGCGCCCGCCAGUAUUCUGGCGGGCAUGCCUGUUCGAGCGUCAUUUCAACCCUCAGGCCCCCAGUGCCUGGUGUUGGGGAUCGGCAGCAGGGCGUCAAGCCCGCCGGCCCCGAAAUCUAGUGGCGGUCUCGCUGUAGUCCUCCUCUGCGUAGUAGCACAACCUCGCAGUUGGAACGCGGCGGUGGCCAUGCCGUUAAACACCCCACUUCUGAAAGUUGACCUCGGAUCAGGUAGGAAUACCCGCUGAACUUAAGCAUAUCAAUAAGCGGAGGA
rnacentral:misc_RNA from 1 species